AUGGGCAUCUCGCCGGAUCGUGUGUCGGUUCACAGAUUCAGACCAGAGGAUUUCCUGGUGGUUUUUGGGAGGAGGGAGGAUCGCAACAGGAUGGGGAACCGCCCGGUGCUGGAGUUCAGGGGGCGCAGGCUAUCCUUCCGGCAGUGGAUUCGGCAGUCUCAGGCGGUGUCCGCGGCCAUGCAAUACAAGGUGGGGCCGGAGCUAGAAGGCAUUCCCCCUCACGCAUGGGACUUGGAAGUGGUGGAGAGUUUCCUGGGUGGUUCUUGCAUCAUCGAGGCGGUGGCGCCGGAGACCUCGUCAAGGGCAGAUCUGUCGUCGUUCAAGCUCACGGCUUGGACGGCGGAGCCGGACAGGAUUCCUUCGCGCAGAUGGUUGGCGGUGCCGGAGCCGUCGGAGCAGAGGGAGUUAUUCGAGCCAAAGGUCCUCCAGCACAGAGUGCUCAUCCAUCUGGAUUCGGUGUUGACAUUCGAAGGGCCAUGGUUUCUGGGGACGUCAUCGGAUAGUGGGCAGAGCGGCCUGCCGGACCAGGAGCUAGACAGAGGUGGAGGUCCAAGCACCCAUAGGUUAGACUGGCAUUUCGGUGUCCGUGAUCGUCGGGGUGCCAAUUCGGGCGGCAGCGGUGCCGCGGUGGGUCGGCAAGCCCCCGGCGGUUCGGUUGGCGCCGGUCAGCUCGACUGGCGGAUCCCUCCGAUGGAGCAAGUACAACGGGUGGGGGGACGUGGGCCUAGCGUGGCGGUUCAGGAUAGGCUGACGUCCCGCGUCUCUGCUUUUGACCGGUUGGGUGGCGCGGGGAGGCAGGUGGUGGAAUCUGAGCGCCGGGAGUUUCAAAAUUUGAAUCAACAUGGCAAUAAUGGUGGAUAG
rnacentral:rRNA from 1 species